GUGGCCCUGACUGAAGACCAACAGUUAUACUAUAGCUGUUGGUUUCAAGAAGAGGCCUAAAGGACUGUCUUCCUAUGGUCUGUUGGCUGUUCUGUAAUCUCAGCAGAGAAUGGCCAUUUCAUUUGGAAGAAACAACA
rnacentral:snoRNA from 1 species